UGUGUGUUUGAGUUCGACCAAGACAAGAGGAAAAGGGGCAAACCCUUCUUGGCCAAGAACAAGCAAAUUGAAAGGGGAAUCUAAUGUUAAAUUGGUGCAUGAAACUCAAAUCUUGAUCAUCUUAACCUUCUUAACAAACGGGCUAAAGGAAGAAGGUUCAAGCCACACGAAGCAAGAAGGAAAUCAAGACCGAGGUAAAACUCAAGUUUAGGUGGUUACGCUUCGCUCAAAUCGAACACACUUGAACGCCUUUCAUGCGCUUCCGCAACUUUUGAAAUAUCGUUAAUGGGUCAAAAUACUUUUGUUAAAAUAGGUUAUGUUUGUUAGUUAAAACUUUAACUUGAUGUGUUAAGUCUUUUGUAAAUUCUAGUUUGUUGUGAAUGUUUAAAUUGCUACAGUUUUCGUUA